rnacentral:rRNA from 1 species
UACGUAGGGUCCGAGCGUUGUCCGGAAUUAUUGGGCGUAAAGAGCUCGUAGGCGGUUUGUCGCGUCUGCCGUGAAAGUCCGGGGCUCAACUCCGGAUCUGCGGUGGGUACGGGCAGACUAGAGUGAUGUAGGGGGAGACUGGAAUUCCUGGUGUAGCGGUGAAAUGCGCAGAUAUCAGGAGGAACACCGAUGGCGAAGGCAGGUCUCUGGGCAUUAACUGACGCUGAGGAGCGAAAGCAUGGGGAGCGAAC